CAAAGGUGAGCCAGUACAGGAUGGACCCGCGUCUGAUUAGCUAGUUGGUAAGGUAACGGCUUACCAAGGCGACGAUCAGUAGCCGACCUGAGAGGGUGAUCGGCCACAUUGGAACUGAGACACGGUCCAAACUCCUACGGGAGGCAGCAGUGGGGAAUAUUGCACAAUGGGCGAAAGCCUGAUGCAGCAACGCCGCGUGAGUGAUGAAGGCCUUCGGGUCGUAAAACUCUGUCCUCAAGGAAGAUAAUGACGGUACUUGAGGAGGAAGCCCCGGCUAACUACGUGCCAGCAGCCGCGGUAAUACGUAGGGGGCUAGCGUUAUCCGGAUUUACUGGGCGUAAAGGGUGCGUAGGCGGUCUUUCAAGUCAGGAGUGAAAGGCUACGGCUCAACCGUAGUAAGCUCUUGAAACUGGGAGACUUGAGUGCAGGAGAGGAGAGUGGAAUUCCUAGCGUAGCGGUGAAAUGCGUAGAUAUUAGGAGGAACACCAGUUGCGAAGGCGGCCCUCUGGACUGUAACUGACGCUGAGGCACGAAAGCGUGGGGAGCAAACAGGAUUAGAUACCCUGGUAGUCCACGCUGUAAACGAUGAGUACUAGGUGUCGGGGGUUACCCCCUUCG
rnacentral:rRNA from 1 species